UUACUGGGCGUAAAGCGGGCGCAGACGGUUACUUAAGCAGGAUGUGAAAUCCCCGGGCUCAACCUGGGAACUGCGUUCUGAACUGGGUGACUAGAGUGUGUCAGAGGGAGGUAGAAUUCCACGUGUAGCAGUGAAAUGCGUAGAGAUGUGGAGGAAUACCGAUGGCGAAGGCAGCCUCCUGGGAUAACACUGACGUUCAUGCCCGAAAGCGUGGGUAGCAAACAGGAUUAGAUACCCUGGUAGUCCACGCCCUAAACGAUGUCGAUUAGCUGUUGGGCAGCUUGACUGCUUAGUAGCGAAGCUAACGCGUGAAAUCGACCGCCUGGGGAGUACGGUCGCAAGAUUAAAACUCAAAGGAAUUGACGGGGACCCGCACAAGCGGUGGAUGAUGUGGAUUAAUUCGAUGCAACGCGAAGAACCUUACCUGGUCUUGACAUGUACGGAACCCUCCAGAGACGGAGGGGUGCCUUCGGGAGCCGUAAUACAGGUGCUGCAUGGCUGUCGUCAGCUCGUGUCGUGAGAAG
rnacentral:rRNA from 1 species